GCCGCGGGUUUGGAAAGGCUCCUUGCGGAGUAACCUUCCAACUUCUUCAGGAGCAGGGCAGAUUACAGCACACCCACGCACCAACAUCAACGGACCCGGCCGGUCGAGACGCACACACCACAGGCUGCUGGCGACCUUCCUGCAACAGGGAAUCCAGGCGUCUGCCAGCGGUGAGGCUGCGCCCGGAGCCACAACUGUCCCAUUAGCACCAGAUCCUGUGUAAGGCAUCCAGGAGGAAGAUUCCACCCAGUACCAUGUAGACUCCCAACUAGCCUGGUGAGGAAGCACUAAUAUCUUCCUCUUAUGUCCAUACUGAGGCACUGCGGGAAUGAGUAACAGGAGAAUCCCAUACCGACCUCAGCCCAAGACAAGUAGUCAGACCCAGCUCUAUUUGCAGGAGAGCCUCAGUUCUUUGAGGUGAAGAAAAUUUCUGUAGUGGUACGCAUGGUGGUUUUGAAAGAAAAGCCUUGAGGAGAAUCGCUUACUGGUGGCUUGAUAAGCAUCAGGAAAUGUAUAAAAGAGAAAUUUCUUCCGGUGGAAAGAAUUGAUUAAAUAAAAAUUUAACAAGUGGCACCUAUUCCGUGCACCUCCUUGAUGCAGAGGAAAUGGGCAUCUAUAUACAGUUCUGUAGUCCCUCUAAUAUUCGGAGAAGUGGAG
rnacentral:lncRNA from 1 species